rnacentral:tRNA from 1 species
CAUUGUGAAGCUUAAAGCGUUAACCUUUUAAGUUAAAGUCAGAGAUCUCCCCAUCUCCACAAUGG